GAUAAACGCUGGCGGCGCACAUAAGACAUGCAAGUCGAACGGACUUAAUCGAUUCUUUUAGAUUCGAAGCGGUUAGUGGCGGACUGGUGAGUAACACGUAAGCAACCUGCCUGUUAGAGGGGAACAACAGUUAGAAAUGACUGCUAAUACCGCAUAUGCCUUAAUCAUCACAUGAUGGUAGAGGGAAAGGAGCAAUCCGCUAACAGAUGGGCUUGCGUCUGAUUAGAUAGUUGGUGGGGUAACGGCCUACCAAGUCGACGAUCAGUAGCCGGUCUGAGAGGAUGAACGGCCACAUUGGGACUGAGAUACGGCCCAGACUCCUACGGGAGGCAGCAGUGGGGAAUAUUGGGCAAUGGGGGAAACCCUGACCCAGCAACGCCGCGUGAGGGAAGAAGGGCUUUCGGGUUGUAAACCUCUUUUACCAGGGACGAAGAACGUGACGGUACCUGGAGAAAAAGCAAACGGCUAACUACGUG
rnacentral:rRNA from 1 species